rfam:TPA: Bos taurus chromosome 24, whole genome shotgun sequence.
UCCCUGGUGGUCCAGUGGUUAAGACCCUGUGCUUCCACUGCAGGGGGCGCAGGUUCGAUCCCUGGUCAGGGAA